AGCUCCGGUGGCCUAGUGGUGAGAACAUCUGUCUCGGACGCGGAAGGUUGUGGGUUCGAACCCCGGCCGAGUCA